UGGGCAAGUAAUUUUUUUUUCCCUUAUUGUUCUUUUCUUUUCUUCUUUUCUUUUCUCCUUUUUCUUCCUUCUUUCUUUGCUGCUCCUUGGUUUCAUGCGUGAGUUCACGCAUGGGAGUAAGGGACCUCCCCUUUUGCUGCUGAUGCUGCCACAUCACCCAAGGCUGCCGGCCACCUCCGGCCCGCCCAGCCACCACGGUGUAUUGUAGGAGACUUUAAAUUGAGUAAUUUCUAGCAUUGUGGCCAGUUGGAAAGACGAAUUAAGUGAGGUUGAAAUAAAGAGAAGUACAAGUAGAAGGAGCAUAUCAAGCAUGAUGGGAUUGAGCGAAGAGGGUUAUAUGUUUCAUUACUUUGUUUAUUUCUUAUCGUAAUAUAUUAUUUCAUUUAUUGUUGUCCCUAACAUAUAAUCAUAUUUGUAAUAUUUUAGUUUGGUUUUUAAAAAAGGGCCUUCAAUGGUUCCAAGUUAUUUGUUUAAUGUAAGUUGGUUUUAAAUUUGAGUUUGUUUUAUUAAA